rnacentral:lncRNA from 1 species
CAUUUUUAUGGGCUGGUUUCAUGAUCCACCAUGAGUUGUCUGUAUUCCAUUCUGCAUAAUGAAAAGUUCGGUGGUUUCCUCCAAAUUGUAUGUAUUGGCAGAACAAUCUGAGACGUGGAUUUCACACGGCAUGGGGUUAAUUAAGGAAAGGUCCCUCCUUCAGGUUCCUGCUCAGUCAGAAGCUUUCUGCUUUUCUGGUGCUAAAACUUGUGAUGGUGGUCACUUUGUGCACUAUAAAUCUGGAUGAUUCCUGGAAAGAGGUGAGAUUCUUCUGCUAUCCAUAUUCUUUCAUCUUCUGUUAGGACAUUGUUUUCAAUGGAAACAUGCUGAGGGUUGUGUUUGGUGAAGUAGCUCAUUCUGUGAGAGUAAAAAUAUGUUCUUCACUACAGCAUGACUUGGAGAGAGCUGAGCUAGGAGAAACUUGGUUCCUUAAUUUGUAUGUGCUUUGUUAUUUACCUCAGUAAAUUUCAAGAUAUCCUAAAUUUUGCUUCUCUUUCAGUAUUCCAAUAAAACAGCUGUUUCAACCUUUGUGUCA